rnacentral:rRNA from 1 species
AGAAUCAACGCUGGCGGCGUGCCUAACACAUGCAAGUCGAACGAGAAAGUGGAGCAAUCCAUGAGUAAAGUGGCGCACGGGUGAGUAACACGUGACUAACCUACCCUUGAGUGGGGAAUAAACUGAGGGAAACCUUCGCUAAUACCGCAUAACACCUACGGGUCAAAGGAGCAAUUCGCUUAAGGAGGGGGUCGCGGCAGAUUAGCUAGUUGGCGGGUAAUGGCCCACAAGGCAGUGAUCUGUA